UACCAGCACCCCGAGUGGUCGGGACGAUUAUUGGGCCUAAAGCAUCCGUAGCCGGUUCUACAAGUCUUCCGUUAAAUUCAUCUGCUUAACAGAUGGGCUGCGGAGGAUACUAUGGAGCUAGGAGGCGGGAGAGGCAAGCGGUACUUAGUGGGUAGGGGUAAAAUCCGUUGAUCCACUGAAGACCACCAGUGGCGAAGGCGGCUUGCCAGAACGCGCUCGACGGUGAGGGAUGAAAGCUGGGGGAGCAAACCGGAUUAGAAACCCCCGUAGUCC
rnacentral:rRNA from 1 species